GCGACAGAGGAGGCGGCAGCGAAACUAACAAGGUCGUGAACACUUUGCACGCGGAGAGGCUUCAGCGAGACGGAGAAAUCCACCGCAAACACAUCAUGAGCCAGAGUCCACCCACAUUCCUGCAAGUUAAAGGGAACCAUGAAAGUGAAUCUGAAUGCAAGGAAGUCAUUCAGGCCACAGACGGAAGUCAUUCCCAGUCUCAACAAAGCUUUGGAGUCUAUCCUGAGUGGUGUGGACCCAGCUGAUGUGACGGGACCACCGCGCGCCGCGCACCUUCAUGACGUGGGGCUUGGAGCACGCAGCCGAACACUGGGACUCGCUGAUGAAGUUGGGCUCCGAGUUGGUGCUGCAGAGGCACUCGCGCCGCUCCCCCAGGCCGCCGUAGCGGUGCGACGCCGCGAAGCACACGCUGUUGCACUGCUGCCGCGUGAAGUUCCCCGGAGUGGAGGAGGAGAAGAUGACGAGCUCGCUGCGCCCCCCUCCGCCGCCGCCGCUGUCUUCCAGGCAGCCGGCAUAGUUCAGACCUGCAGGCGAGACGGAGGCCGUGACCCGAUGACUCCUUUGCCAAAAUGAUGCUUGUGCUGCUGUGUGGCAACAAAGCAGCCAGGCCAUUCGUUCAUACCGCAGGAUGGACAGCGGCCCACAGCAGAAGACGCCUCUGGGGAGAACGUUGAUCCUGUUCCCUUGAAGAUACCUGCACACAGAUGCAUGUGUGAUUAAACAGGCGUAGAAGUAAAAUUACAUGAACACGUAAACACACGAUUCUGGCCGUACUCACAACUCUCUGAGGCUGGUGAGAUGAUCUAACAGGCUGGUAUCAAGGGAGGAGAUGUGGUUGUUGGAAAGAUCUCUGCGGGACAAAGCCAACAUAACCACAUUUAAAACUUCAUGCUGUGGCAGGACGAUUGCAUAUACACACGGUGACAGGCACACUCAGGAUGACUGGAAGCUACAGUGACCUAACCAUAUCACGGGGUCGAGUCUGUGCAGGAAAAUAUUCAGCUCGUACCAACAGAAGAGGAGAUAAAUACAACCAGACACACUGAAUACAGUCUGAAUAUGAAUGCGCCAAAGACCACAAACAGCAGAUAUAUAUAUAUAUAGUAUUAUAUUUGCAGUGAUGCAACAUGAUACAACAGCCGUAGUAAAAUGUUCAAAUACAGUAUACUAAGGUGGAUAUUGUGUUAAACAAUAACACAAUACAGUAUAACACCAUUUACAGGAAAAGCUCAUCACAAUGAAAACUUUUUUUUCUAAAUUAAAGCAGAAGUUGUGAAAAUAUUGUUUUGGUCUUUAACAUUCAAAAAGUGAUGGACUCUUUGUUUCCCCAAAUGACUCCUUGUACAAUAUGUGUGUGUUAUCCUUUAAUCUCAAUGCGUACACUUAUAGUACUGCACAAUACAUUAAGCCGAUCCAGGCAAGAAAAGCUGGACCUUUAAUAAGACUGAAAAUAUGAGUGAUCUAACAACAGCUUGCAUUCUGCAGGCGACAAUAUGAAUAUGGCGACGAGCUACGAAUGAAAGAAGCCGGAGGUCGCUGCUCUAAAUGUCACUCACAGUCACGUAUUCAUGCGUUUAUAAUGACACGCGUUCUUUCAUUCUGCUUCAAAAGAACAAGAUAAUAGUUUUAGAUUCACUCAUUUGAAAACGUAAGCGAUCACACUGACUGAUAAGUAGGUGCUGAAUUAUCCUGCAUUAAAGC